rnacentral:rRNA from 1 species
GAUGAACGCUAGCUACAGGCUUAACACAUGCAAGUCGAGGGGCAGCAUGGUCUUAGCUUGCUAAGGCCGAUGGCGACCGGCGCACGGGUGAGUAACACGUAUCCAACCUGCCGUCUACUCUUGGACAGCCUUCUGAAAGGAAGAUUAAUACAAGAUGGCAUCAUGAGUCCGCAUGUUCACAUGAUUAAAGGUAUUCCGGUAGACGAUGGGGAUGCGUUCCAUUAGAUAGUAGGCGGGGUAACGGCCCACCUAGUCUUCGAUGGAUAGGGGUUCUGAGAGGAAGGUCCCCCACAUUGGAACUGAGACACGGUCCAAACUCCUACGGGAGGCAGCAGUGAGGAAUAUUGAUCAAGGGGCGAGAGCCUGAACCAGCCAAGUAGCGUGAAGGACGACUGCCCUAUGGGUUGUAAACUUCUUUUAUAAAGGAAUAAAGUCGGGUAUGGAUACCCGUUUGCAUGUACUUUAUGAAUAAGGAUCGGCUAACUCCGUG